AGUUAUUUAGUUUAGUUAAAAUGUAACUUCAAUAACAAAGAAUGAAUUUCUUUGUGACCAAACAAGAUAAUGAACAAACUAUAGAGGGUUAAAAAGGGGCAAGUGGAAAGAUGUUUUAAUUAAAAACAUGGGGGAAAAAGGAAAAAACCCAAUUCUGGGUCUUGUGGGUCGCGAACAGAAGGCAGGAAAGGAGAAACCCUUCUCCUUCAAUUGAGUUCAAGAAAUUCAGCCAAUUGAAGCCCUAAUCGUAGUUGUAUUCAUGCAUGUCAAUGAUUUCUUGGUCAUCUAGCCCUAACAAAUACAUGAAUAUGAACCACACUAGCAUGGACCAAGCAUGGAAGGCUAACGGGUCAAGAUGAGGCAAGGAAGCGGGUAUGAACACGGAUGCACAAAGAACGAGUACAUCGGAUUCUUACGAAAUUUAAGCCCAACCCGGAAUAAGAGGAUGAGUGAUACACGGACUUCUUCUGCUACUUAGGAAGUGAAGCGGACGUAGAUCGAGUCAAGAGCAAGGAUUGCACGGAUAGAUCGACCAUAUAGUUGAAAUAUAUAACGUCUAGAAAUGUAAAAUUUAGUAUGAAUGUUGUGAAUUCUUUUA
rnacentral:lncRNA from 1 species